UUCCGAGCCAGCUGGAACCCUGGUGCCUCCAUGGGAACAAGCCAGGCCAGCCAUGAGAUGGACGUCAUUAUUCACUCCGAGGCUCAGACAGGUCAUGGGACCUGUCCAAAGUCACACGGCUAGGGAAUGAGAGCGCCCACGGAGCAGGGCUGAGCCAGCCCGUUUGUCCCCGUCUAGGCUCCAGGGACGUGGAAGAGACCAGGCAAGAUCGGCACAGCUGCCUGCUCAACCUGCAGCUGACCACACACCCAUGAGGGUCUUCGUGAGAUUGCUUCAUAAAACCUGAGACAAACACCUUCCCUCCCCGCUCCACCCCCACAAUGAAGGCUAAAGGCCAAACCCAGCGAGCAGAGGGAACUAAGAAGUCUGACAGUUGGAAUUUUCUGUGUAUUUCCUCCUUUGGCUCAAAUAAUCGGUUUGCACUCUCCUCUCCGGGGUUCCUAAGAAGCAGGACUGCCACCCACCAGUGUGUCUGCACUUCCAGAGCCUGCCGAGUUCUGUCCCUGCAGCUCUGUUAGGGACUAUCUGCUCUGUUGGCAUUUUCACAGGCUUGCCCUGGUAAACAAGGCGCUCGGUCCGCUACGUUAAAAGCUUAUUACUCACAACAAAAGUGGAAACAAAAGGAAAAAAAACAGAAAGAGUCCUUCAGCAAGUGAUUUCUCUUUUGCUUUUCUCUCCUAAUCUAGUCUUUUUUUGUGGUCAACAACAACAACAACACACACACACACACACACACAAAGAAGAAACAUGUGAAACUCAUGCUUUCAGUAACAGUCUAAACACUGAUUUUUUUUUUUUUUUUGCUUCUGCAUCAAAAUGCAUUGCCCGUCAAAACUUGGGCCCCAAUCAAUAAAUACUAAAGUCCA